rnacentral:rRNA from 1 species
AUGGCUCAGAUUGAACGCUGGCGGCAGGCUUAACACAUGCAAGUCGAGCGGUAACGGGGGGUAGCUUGCUACUCUGCCGACGAGCGGCGGACGGG